rnacentral:lncRNA from 1 species
UCACACGGUGGAAAAAGAAGGAAAUCUAUCUUUGAGAGCUUUGAAGCAAGAAAAUGGCAAAGAAAGAAAAGAUUUUACCAGAAUCAGUAGAGCAAGGAUAAAUAAAAUAAAAGAAGCCAUUCCUUUAAAUAGAAAGGUGCACGACUCUCGAAAGAUGUCAAGUUGGUACGAAUCUAUAAAAUGAACCACGCAUCAAGCCUUUAUUAGCUCAAAGCUAGCCAACGGUCUCUACAUUUAAUGCAUCCCAAC